UUACAGCCAUAUCAUGUUGAAACCCCCAUUUCUCAUAUGAUCACCAAAGUUAAGCAAUGACAAGCCUUGUCACUACCUAGAUGGGUGACCACUUGGGAAUACCAGGUGCUGUAUG